AACGAACGCUGGCGGCGUGCCUAACACAUGCAAGUCGAGCGGGAAAGUUCCCUUCGGGGAGCGAGUACAGCGGCGAACGGGUGAGUAACACGUAGGUAACCUACCCUGGAGACUGGGAUAACCUGCCGAAAGGCGGGCUAAUACCAGAUAAGACCACGAGGGCUGCGGCCCUUGAGGUAAAAGAUGGCCUAUGCUUGCAAGCUAUCACUCCGGGAUGGGCCUGCGCGCCAUUAGCUAGUUGGUGAGGUGACGGCUCACCAAGGCCAGAGAUGGCUAGCUGGUCUGAGAGGAUGGCCAGCCACACUGGGACUGAGACACGGCCCAGACUCCUACGGGAGGCAGCAGUGGGGAAUAUUGCGCAAUGGGCGAAAGCCUGACGCAGCGACGCCGCGUGGGUGA
rnacentral:rRNA from 1 species